rnacentral:rRNA from 1 species
CCAGCCGCUGCGGUAAUUUCAGCUCCCAUAGCGUAGAUUAACGUUGUUGCAGUUAACAAGCUCGUAGUUGGAUUUCUGGCAGGAGCGACCGGUCUCACACUCUGUGUGAGAACUCGUGUUGUCUCUGGCCAUCCUUGGGUAGAUCCUGUUUGGCAUUAAGUUGUCGGGCAGGGGAUACCCAUCGUUUACUGUGAAAAAAUUAGAGUGUUUAAAGCAGGCUUAUGCCGUUGAAUAUAUUAGCAUGGAAUAAUAAGAUAGGACUUUGGUACUAUUUUGUUGGUUUGUGCACCAGAGUAAUGAUUAAUAGGGACAGUUGGGGCUAUUCGUAUUCCAUUGUCAGAGGUGAAAUUCUGGGAUUGCUGGAAGACGAACGACUGCGAAAGCAUUUAGCAAGGAUGUUUUCAUCAAUCAAGAACGAAAGU